rnacentral:rRNA from 1 species
AUUGAACGCUGGCGGCAUGCUUUACACAUGCAAGUCGAACGGUAACAGGUUAAGCUGACGAGUGGCGAACGGGUGAGUAAUGCAUCGGAACGUGCCCGGUCGUGGGGGAUAACGCAGCGAAAGCUGCGCUAAUACCGCAUACGAUCUGAGGAUGAAAGCGGGGGACCGUAAGGCCUCGCGCGAUCGGAGCGGCCGAUGUCAGCUUAGGUGGUGGGUGGGGUAAAGGCUCACCAAGCCAACGAUCUGUAGCUGGUCUGAGAGGACGACCAGCCACACUGGGACUGAGACACGGCCCAGACUCCUACGGGAGGCAGCAGUGGGGAAUUUUGGACAAUGGGCGAAAGCCUGAUCCAGCAAUGCCGCGUGCAGGAAGAAGGCCUUCGGGUUGUAAACUGCUUUUGUACGGAGCGAAAAGGUCUCCUCUAAUACAGGGGGCUCAUGACGGUACCGUAAGAAUAAGCACCGGCUAACUACGUGCCAGCCGCCGCGGUAA